AAUCAACGCUGGCGGCGUGCCUAACACAUGCAAGUCGAACGCGAGAGGGGCUUCGGCCCCGAUUGAGUGGCGAACGGGUGAGUAACACGUGGGUGACCUACCUUCGAGUGGGGGAUAACGUCCCGAAAGGGACGCUAAUACCGCAUAACAUCCUGCUUUUGAAUGGGUGGAGAUCAAAGCCGGGGAUCGCAAGACCUGGCGCUUGAUGAGGGGCCCGCGUCUGAUUAGCUAGNGGUGAGGUAACGGCCCACCAAGGCAACGAUCAGUAUCCGGCCUGAGAGGGCGGACGGACACACUGGGACUGAGACACGGCCCAGACUCCUACGGGAGGCAGCAGUGGGGAAUUGUUCGCAAUGGGCGCAAGCCUGACGACGCAACGCCGCGUGGAGGAUGAAGGUCUUCGGAUUGUAAACUCCUGUUGCCCGGGACGAAUGGCUCCGACCUAACACGUCGGAGUGUGACGGUACCGGGUGAGGAAGCCCCGGCUAACUCUGUGCCAGCCGCCGCGGU
rnacentral:rRNA from 1 species